AUUGAACGCUGGCGGCAGGCCUAACACAUGCAAGUCGAACGAGUGGCGGACGGGUGAGUAAUGUCUGGGAAACUGCCCGAUGGAGGGGGAUAACUACUGGAAACGGUAGCUAAUACCGCAUACCAUCGGAUGUGCCCAGAUGGGAUUAGCUGGUAGGUGGGGUAAUGGCUCACCUAGGCGACGAUCCCUAGCUGGUCUGAGAGGAUGACCGUCCACACUGGAACUGAGACACGGCCCAGACUCCUACGGGAGGCAGCCGGGGGGAACUUUGCACAAUUGGCGCAAGCCUGAUGCAGCCAUGCCGCGUGUAUGAAGAAGGCCUUCGGGUUGUAAAGUACUUUCAGCGGGGAGGCGUUACCCGCAGAAGAAGCACCGGCUAACUCCGUGCCAGCAGCCGCGGUAAUUC
rnacentral:rRNA from 1 species